GGAUGACUUGUGGUUAGGGGUGAAAGGCCAAUCAAACUGAGAAAUAGCUCGUACUCCCCGAAAUGCUUUUAGGAGCAGCGUGUGGGUGAGUUUAUUAGAGGUAGAGCUACCGAUUGGACUAGGGGGAGUCAAAUCCUACCAAAUCCAGAUGAACUCCGAAUGCUAGUAAAUAUACCAUACAGUGAGGGUUGGGGUGCUAAGGUCCCAAUCCGAGAGGGAAAGAACCCAGACCUACAGCUAAGGUCCCAAAAUCUAUGCUAAGUUGAACUAAGGGGGUCCAGUUGCUUAGACAGCCAGGAUGUUGGCUUGGAAGCAGC
rnacentral:rRNA from 1 species